rnacentral:lncRNA from 1 species
GAAAUGAUUGGAAACAUACUGGAAACUACAGUGAGCAUUCCAAUGGGAGAAUCUGGAUACUGUGGAAUUCAAAAGUGGAGCUGCAAGUAUUGAAGAUUGAUGAACAAUUUAUUCAUUGUGAGGUUAAAGAAAGAGGUUCCACCUUCAGAACACUGCUAACAGUCGUGUAUGCAAAUAAUGAAUUGAACAAGAGACAGCAACUUUGGGCCAAAU